rnacentral:ncRNA from 1 species
UCUUAUCUAGAGAGGCAGAGGGACUGGCCCGUCGAAGCCUCAGCAACCACUGGUAUAACCAGAAAGGUGCUAAUUCCAGCAAGUUGUGUGAUGCAGCUUGGAAGAUAAGG